UGAGAUGAAAUCAUAAGUGAUGUUUCAUUUACAAUGAAAAUUAGUUUUAUUAAACCAUUUCAA
rnacentral:tRNA from 1 species